AACGAACGCUGGCGGCAUGCCUAACACAUGCAAGUCGAACGAGACCUUCGGGUCUAGUGGCGCACGGGUGCGUAACGCGUGGGAACCUGCCCUUAGGUUCGGAAUAACUCCCCGAAAGGGGUGCUAAUACCGGAUAAUGUCUUCGGACCAAAGAUUUAUCGCCUUUGGAUGGGCCCGCGUUGGAUUAGCUAGUUGGUAGGGUAAAAGCCUACCAAGGCGACGAUCCAUAGCUGGUCUGAGAGGAUGAUCAGCCACACUGGGACUGGGACACGGCCCAGACUCCUACGGGAGGCAGCAGUGGGGAAUAUUGGACAAUGAGCGAAAGCCUGAUCCAGCAAUGCCGCGUGAGUGAUGAAGGCCUUAGGGUUGUAAAGCUCUUUUACCCGGGAUGAUAAUGACAGUACCGGGAGAAUAAGCUCCGGCUAACUCCGUG
rnacentral:rRNA from 1 species